rnacentral:lncRNA from 1 species
GAAAGAACUGCUGGGUGGAGACUGAGGCAGGGAAGGACUAGGGCCAGGGGAUAGAGAGAUGGAUGAAGCAGUGCAGCCUCCUGCAUCCUGGAAAGUUCCAUGAAGAGCUGAGGUCACUGCCUUCCUUUCCCUCCCUGUGGAUGACCCCACAACCUUGGAAAUCCUGCCACUGCCCUUGUGGCUGUGGGUUCAGAACAAACCUCUCUGUUGAGGAAUCAGGUGUUACAUGGAAUACCUUGCCUUUCUAUUUCAUUAUUCCAGCUGGUCUCAGGGGCAGCAAGGCAGAGGUUCUGAACCCUCUUUCCUAGUUAUUGAGUUUGGUUUGUUGUUGUGUUUGUGGUGCUGAGAACCAAACCCAGGACUUUAUGCAUGCCAGGCAAGCACUCUGCCACUGAGCCACAUUCCCAGCCCAGUUCUUAGGAUUUUAUGUAUAGAAGUAUCUCUGAAGAUGUGCCCCAGAAAUACUUUUAUUUUCA